CCUACGGCGGCUGCAGUGGGGAAUUUUGCGCAAUGGGCGAAAGCCUGACGCAGCAACGCCGCGUGAGUGAUGAAGGUUUUCGGAUCGUAAAGCUCUGUCAGAGGGGAAGAAACUCCCGGGUGCUAAUAUCGCCUGGGCUUGACGGUACCCUCAAAGGAAGCACCGGCUAACUCCGUGCCAGCAGCCGCGGUAAUACGGAGGGUGCAAGCGUUGUUCGGAAUUAUUGGGCGUAAAGCGCGUGUAGGCGGUUGGUUAAGUCUGAUGUGAAAGCCCUGGGCUCAACCCGGGAAGUGCAUUGGAAACUGGCUAACUUGAGUACGGGAGAGGGUAGUGGAAUUUCGAGUGUAGGGGUGAAAUCCGUAGAUAUUCGAAGGAACACCGGUGGCGAAGGCGGCUACCUGGACCGAUACUGACGCUGAGACGCGAAAGCGUGGGGAGCAAACAGGAUUAGAUACCCCGGUAGUCCA
rnacentral:rRNA from 1 species